UCACUCUUGCUCCGCCCCCAGGCUGCCCGUACUGUCGCCUAAUAGCGUUCUGCCGGCCGCUCAGACUUGGAACGAGCGCGGGACCGAUAACCGAGCAGAGUCAGAACCAUGUCUGGCUGUCAAGCUCAAGGAGACUGUUGCUCGCGGCCGUGUGGCGCGCAGGACAAGGAGCACCCCCGAUUCCUGAUCCCAGAACUUUGCAAACAGUUUUACCAUCUGGGCUGGGUCACCGGCACUGGAGGGGGAAUCAGCUUGAAGCAUGGCAAUGAAAUCUACAUUGCUCCCUCAGGCGUGCAAAAGGAGCGCAUUCAGCCAGAAGACAUGUUUGUGUGUGACAUCAAUGAGCAGGAUAUAAGUGGGCCUCCAGCAUCUAAGAAGCUGAAAAAAAGCCAGUGCACUCCUCUUUUCAUGAAUGCUUAUACCAUGAGAGGAGCUGGCGCAGUGAUUCAUACCCACUCUAAAGCUGCUGUGAUGGCCACCCUUCUGUUUCCAGGACAGGAGUUUAAAAUUACACAUCAAGAGAUGAUCAAAGGAAUAAGGAAAUGUACCUCAGGAGGGUAUUACAGAUACGAUGAUAUGUUAGUGGUACCCAUUAUUGAGAACACUCCUGAAGAGAAGGACCUCAAAGAACGGAUGGCUCAUGCCAUGAAUGAGUACCCAGACUCCUGUGCAGUUCUAGUCCGGCGUCAUGGGGUGUACGUGUGGGGAGAAACAUGGGAGAAAGCAAAAACCAUGUGUGAGUGUUAUGAUUACCUGUUUGACAUUGCUGUCUCCAUGAAGAAGAUGGGACUCGAUCCAACACAGCGUCCAGUUGGAGAAAAUGGAAUUGUGAAUCCCCCAAAGGAGCUCCUGCAUUAAAGGCUUCACCCUGAUGCUGCUAGUAUUCAGAUGUGGAGUUUUAGGAUCAUAGGUCCCAGCCUUCAUCAAUGGAUUGAUAAGUUGAUGGACUCAAGAUUUGGUCAACUAUUACUACCUAGUGAGAGCUGCAAGAGGCCCAAUGUCCACACCUGGAGACUCACAGCAUCUGUAACUCCAAAGGGUCUGACUUGUCUUUUGGGCUCCAUGGACACCUGCACAGGUUAGUCACACACA